rnacentral:lncRNA from 1 species
GAUUAAUAAAGGAAGUCAAGAGAGCAAAAAAAAAUAUAUAUAGGUCACCGCGCUUGUUUUAGAGAUUUUAGCCAUUCAAAUUUUGGCUGGAAAAUAUUCUCUUGACUUUUCAUAGCUUUAUCAUUGACAAGUUGAAGUUUACAAAAACUGUAAUUAAACUUUUAUAAGACUUUAACAGAUGGAUUACCAUUAUACAUUUAAAAGAUUUACAAAAAGAAAAAUGGGGGUCACCAGGCAAAAUUUUUCAAGGCAUUCAAAUGAAUAAAACCAGAGGAUUUCGAAAAGUCUGACAACAAAUCCAAAACAUGACAAGCCAGCUUCCUUAAUAAAGGUCACGGUCAGUUUUCACGUUUAAGCUGUUUUCCUUUUUGAGUUGUAACUUUACAGUAGCAAAUUAUUUUUUUUUGUUAUAUGCAUUUGAGUUAUUUCCCUUUUUAUGUCAUUUGGUUUUUAGUUUAUUUUAUGUUAAACAGAAAUGUUAUUUUAAUAUAUAUGUAUUUCACCAAAAAGUGAUUUCUUGGGGUACUUUGAUAUGUGAUUCUAACAAUGCAUUUUU